AAGACACUAGUAAAACUUUAUUACACUGCUUUGUCAAGGCAGAAUUGCGAGUUAAAGCCUCGCGUGCCUUA
rnacentral:tRNA from 1 species